rnacentral:lncRNA from 1 species
UGUACAUUAUAUAUUAUUGCACAAUUUUGUUGUAUUCAGUUAGUUAUAUUUUAUAUAACUAACUGAAUAUUAUGACGAAUAACAUUAUAUAUAUGACGAAUAUUAUGUAGACGUUCUGUUUUCUUUUUAUUACAUUACUUACUAACCGCAACAACCAAUUUCUUUUUUCAAAAUUAGAAUGCAUUCUAGAACAGAGAACCUGAAGAUGGUUGAAAUGGCCUAAAACGUUUGUAGUUUAUAGUCAUUAAGGAUAUGAGAUUUUUCUUAAAAUUGCAUAAGAGUGCUUGUAUUCAACAUUAAUAAUUAGAAUGUCAAUUUGAAAAUUGUUAUUUAGUUAAUUUAAUUGCACUUAACACUAAAUAUGUGAAGAUAUAUUUUCACAUAUUUUGGGAUAAUAUUCAGUUUAAUAUUUGUUAAACUGAAAGAAAAAUGCAAAGAAUAGUCCAUUAAGUUGAGUCAUCAGAAAGAACUAUCUGUCAACAUUGCUCUCUUUUUUAAGAAGCUCUUUUAAUAUGCAUUAUCCAUUAAAUAGUUCUCAGCAAGAUCUGAGUUUAACAACCCUGGUGUAACUGGUCACUAGAAUUCAGCAGAAAAUUGUUAAAAUGAUAGAUGAUUUAGAUAUAGGAAUCAAGCAGAGAAUUGUGAUUGAAUUUAUUACCAUGAAGAAUGCGAGUCAGAUAAUAAUUCAUAUACAUCUGAAAAAACAAUAUAAUAUCAAUGUUAUUGGUGUCAGCACACUGGAUUAUAGAGUCAUAGAUACUCGUGAUUACUGAAACAAACUUCAGAGUAGGUCCUGAAUGAUUACUCUAAUGAUAAGAAGAACUAGUUUGAUGCAUUUGAUUUAAGGAGGAUUGUUGCAGCAUAAUAUGAAUUGUUAGAGUAUAAUGACAUUACAGUAUAUGAAUUGUACAGUAUGCAUUAGUAAACUAGUAGAUAUUGCUAUCAUUAAUGAUCUUAACUGCAACAAAUUUGCACAAAGUGAAUCCCAAAAAUACUGAUAAGCAAACAGAAAGAAACUUAAAUAUCGGUAUGGAAUUUCUCAAAGUAAUAUAUGAAUUAGAAUUUUCUGUUAUAGUCACAGAUAAUGAAACUUGGGCUUGCCACUAUGACCCUGAAACAAAGACAAUCAUAAAAAGCAUCACUAGAUGUAAAGAAUAAAUUCCAUUGAUCUUUUAUAUGAAUAAAGUCAUUACAAACAUAUUCUGGUAUAAAAAAUUGAACUUAUGGACUUUAUGAAGAAUGGUAUUAAGAAUGAUAUCUAAAAACAUUACAAAGAUUGAAAAUAGCACUCAGGAGUUUAAUCCAGGAGAAUUAUGAAUAAAAUUCUUCUGCUCCUGCUUGAUCUCAUACCAGAAUUUGUGCAUAUAGGAAGCAAUUGCAUCAGUGGGAUGAACUUCUCUUUCCUAUUUCCUUCACACUCUAUAUCUAGUAUCUUCUGAUUUACCACUUGUUUUUUUUUAAAGGAUGCCCUUUAAAAAACUUCAUUUUGCAAAUGAUAAAAAAACCUGAACAAAAUGUUCAUGAAGAAUUUUGAUGCCAAAUUAAGGACUUUUAUACAGUCAGCAUAUAGCAACUUGCUUUUAAAAAUUAUAUUGAUGAUAAUGGAGAAUUUAUGAAAAAGUAAUAGAAUAUUUGCAAUAAAUGAAGGAUCCAUGUAAAAAUAUUUUUGAAGAAAUUACCGAAAACAAAAAAAGAGACAUAUUUAUACAUCCUCUGUACCUUAUAUAGCUAUAUUUAAGCCUACUCUCAUUAUUCAGCUUAGUAUUAUUGUUUACAAUAGUGAAAACACUAUUAUAAACAACAACAGAUCAGAUACACAAAACACCCUCUGAAAUGGAUAAUGCCAGUACAUUGAACAAUUGCAUAUUGACUUAUAUGCAUGUUUAUUAUAUUGAACAAUUGUGAAAUUUAUUGAUUACAUCAUUGUCAUAAUUAUAAGUAAUAGUAAAUUAUCAUCUAAAAU